CGAUUGUGCAUGAAUGCCCAAAAAAUAUCUGAAAUGAGCUACAGUCCACGGUGGACUACGAGAAUCGUAAGUGAAACCAUCUCGCGAUCCAUGCCUACUGUCGUAGAUCGACGAUCCACAAUGGACUGCGUGAAGAUAUAGGUCGCAUCGUGCGUGCACCUGCUGGGCCUCACUCGUGGUUGGCUCAUGCACGCCCGUGCGCUA
rnacentral:lncRNA from 1 species